CAUGGCUGCAGUGAGCGAAGCAUCUAGACUGAUGUGCAGAAUAGUUUUGACUGACAAAACUCUUCCAGUCGUAGCCUAAAUAUCAUCGAGGAACCUCCACUUUUCAAUCUACGGCAAGAGGGAGAGUGCCAAAGUUUCAGAUGGAGUGUCCACACAUUAUCCAAUGGAUUUUGAAUUUGCUGCAGUGGUGGUUGGAGCCGGAUUCCGAGCGGCCUUUGGUUUGUCUGAAGCUGGGUUUAUCACAGCCUGCAUAACCAAAUUGUUUCCCACCAGAUCACACACAGUGGCUGUGCAGGUAACUUUGGAAUACAGGCCUGUGACUGACAGCUCGCUGAAUGAGGAAGACUGUGCAGCUAUCCCUCCUGCUAUUCACUCCUAUUAAACAUACAGUACACAGGGGCCUGGGUAGCUCAGCGAGUAUUAACGCUGACUACCACUCCUGGAGUUGCGAGUUUGAAUCCCGGAUGCGCUGAGUGACUCCAGCCAGGUCUCCUAAGCAACCAAAUUGGCCCGGUUGCUAGGGAGGGUAGAGUCACAUGGGGUAACCUCCUUGUGGUCGUGAUUACUGGUUCUCGUUCUCAAUGGGGCAUGUGGUAAGUUGUGCGUGGAUCGUGGAGAGUAGCAUGAGCCCCUUAUUCAGAGUCUCCGCAGUGUCAUGCACAAUGAGCCACGUGAUAAGAUGUGUGGAUUUAUGGUCUCAGAAGCAGAGGCAACUGAGGCUUGUCCUCUGCCACCCAUAUUGAGGUGAGUAACCGCACCAUCACAAGGACCUAGUAAGUAGUGGGAAUUGGGCAUUGCAAAUUUGGAGAAAAAAGGGGAUAAAAAAAACAAACAUACAGUACACACCUUUAUUAUCUCAUUAAUUAACUUUAAUCAUCUCAAAGCAUGUGAGAAAUUACUGUAAAUAUCAUAACUCCAUUAUUUAUAAAGGGAAACUUGCAAUCAUGGAUCAAAAGUCAGUGUUGAAUUGCACAGCUAGGUUUAUUUUAAAAGUCUGAGGAUGUACAUGUAAGUCGUGUUCACAUAUACAGCCUUUCCAGAAAAUUACUACAAUUUCCAGUUUAGAGGUCAUGUGUGAACACGACCCUUUUGAAAAUACUGGUAAAUUUUGCUCUGGCAAUUUUCCUUAAUGCGAAGUUGUAUCAUUACCUAUAAAUUUCCUUAUUGAUGGUAUGUGUGAACAGCGCAUUUGGUUCAUUUACCAGUAAAGGCAACCCAACAAUUUUCCUGUAAUUGACCUGGUGUGAAUGGGGCUAUUGAGUACAUGUUCAGUGACCUCUUGGGGACAAACUUGGUGUAUGAACUGAAAGCUGAGCUACUUGUAUUGGGACUUGUAUUAUAAUCAUUGCACUUUUAAGAACCAAG